GACGAACGCUGGCGGCGUGCUUAACACGUGCAAGUCACGGGGGCCCGCAAGGGUAACCGGCGAACGGGUGCGUAACACGUGAGCAAUCUGCCGUACACUGGGGGAUAGCCGGCCCAACGGCCGGGUAAUACCGCAUACGUUCUUCGAGUGGCACCACUUGAAGAAGAAACCUCCGGGGGUGUACGAGGAGCUCGCGGCCUAUCAGGUAGUUGGUGGGGUCACGGCCUACCAAGCCAUUGACGGGUAGCCGGUCUGGGAGGAUGGCCAGCCACAUUGGGACUGGGAUACGGCCCAGACUCCUACGGGAGGCAGCAGUGGGGAAUAUUGCGCAAUGGCCGCAAGGCUGACGCAGCGACGCCGCGUGGGGGAUGAAGCAUUUCGGUGUGUAAACCCCUGUUGCUCGGGACGAACAACGAGUUUCGACUCGUCUGACGGUACCGGGUGAGGAAGCACCGGCUAACUCCGUGCCAGCCGCCGCGGUAA
rnacentral:rRNA from 1 species